AGCCGGGCCCUGCGCAACGGCACGCCGUGAACUCCGCCAGGUCCGGAAGGAAGCAACGGCAGCGGUUCCUGUCGUGUGCCGCGGGUAAACCCGGCUAUC
rnacentral:SRP_RNA from 1 species